UGUGCAGUUCUGAGGUGGAUUGUAGUGUCCUGCACGGCUGCAGCACAGCCAGUCCCUGGGAGCGAUGGGCACACAGGGAUGUGCAGUUUCCUUGGAGAAGGCUAGAGCACCACAGGAGCUGCCAUGGCAGUGCAUUUAUUGACGCUUUGUGGAUGCAUGAAGAUCCCAUGAAGGAGCAUGAGGAGGAAAUGACCUCAUGG